rnacentral:rRNA from 1 species
UACGAAGGGGACUAGCGUUGUUCGGAAUCACUGGGCGUAAAGCGCACGUAGGCGGAUUUGUAAGUCAGGGGUGAAAUCCCGGGGCUCAACCUCGGAACUGCCUUUGAUACUGCAGGUCUUGAGUCCUAUAGGUGGGUGGUGAAUUCCUAGUGUAGAGGUGAAAUGCGCAGAUAUCGGGAAGAACACCCGUGGCGAAGGCGGCUCUCUGGGACGGUACUGACGCUGAGACGCGAAAGCGUGGGGAGCGAACAGG